UUGCCUGGUCCGGGCUAAUGGACAUCUCUUGGGGCCUAUGGAUAAGGAGCAUCCCCGGUUGCAAGCGUAGGAUUCUAACUAAGUUUGUAGGGUUCAGCACGGGAGCUUGGCAGUGACACAGAGAGGCUGAGGGAGGGCUUCAGAGGUCGAGGGCUUGAGGGCUGGAGACAAACAGUGAAAAUAAAAAGGGUACAGGUUUCGAUAUAAGGUAGAGUCAAGGACUAUUCAAACCCUAAACAGCAGCCCUAACAGCGCUCCCGUUUCCCUGAGACAGCUGCAGGCAGGAACCCUAAAGCAGCAGAGUGCCAGAACCCCCGAGAGCUGCAGGCAGUACCCCUGGUGCUAGGGCCAGCCAGGAAGAGAUAGUGGGUGCUAGGGCCUACUGCUGUCAUAUAAGCUGGGGUUUCCAUCCUUGGGGUACCCUGGGCUCCCUGUCCCUCACUGACUGGAGAGUCUUCGUCCCCUUCUUGAGGUGGUGGUAAUUUGGCUGUGUCAGCCAAUACUGCUGUGAAGCAAGCCUCUGCCUCCCUGUGGGGUGAAGUGUGCAGCCCAUGAACCUGGGCGUUCUCUAGAGAAGGUAAGUGCUGGGUUUUCACAGAUGUGCCGCUAAGAUCCUGCAUUGAUAUUUGGUCUUCUAGAUUGUAGCUGACGAGGAGACGACAUCCUGGCGAUGGCAGGAACUUCCCGGAUAGCGCAGCAGCCUUACAGGGCGUCCUCGUGUGGAUCCUCCCCGCCGGGCAUCCCAGAGCUGAGUCAAAGGCUACAAAUUGCAGAGGGGCUGAAAUCGUGGUGCCGGGUCGGGACUCGUGACCUGGGAUAUUUGAGUCAGCUUUGGGGACGGGGAGGUCCAGACUGUGGCCCCUUAGGCCACACGGUGGGAGAGCCUCACAGUUGCUCACAGCGCUGAGGUGCGCAGGACAGAGCAGUCCCGGGGCGUGUCGUAUCACUUGUCCGUCGUGCCUUCUGUGUCUUUUGUGCCUCUCCUGUUGUAUGUGCCUUCUCUUAUCUCUUCUGGGGGCUUACCAGAAACCCCGGCAUCACUCCUCGCGUCUCUGAUCUCUGGGCUCCUCAGCCCGACACCAUCGCAGCUUUGCCUCGGGAGCCCUCAGAGGCCUCGGAAUCGCGUCUCUCUUUUAAAAGCAUCCGAUCGGAUGUCUUUUAGAGGUCUUGUUCUGAGCUGUGUCAACAGCCGUGCGCCGCGAGGAUCCAUUGUUGCGGCUUAGGUCUUGAAGAAACGCAGAGAUAGGUAGGGGGCUGUGGCCCUCAGAUUCUCGGGCAUCCGUCUUGGCAGUUGCUGGAGUUUGUCAUUCCAUCAGCAUCUUCUUCCUCCCGGGUUCUGCGAGCUUCAUCAGCUCGCCUUCAUUCUCACCCGGCUCAUCUCGUUCCGCGUUCUCUCGGUCCUUGUGGCCGUUCUUGUGGCCCAGAGUUUUGUCUCCCCGUUGUGUCCCCUCGUCUGUUGUCUUGUGUGUCACGGGUGUCUGGGUGUAGUUGUCCCGGAGCUGCUCUGUCCUGCUGCCCAGCCUGGGUGUAGGUGUAAAAGGCCGAGUCCUAGGCCCCUGUAAUUUGAAAUUUGUCAUGUAGGGUGUAGUUGGAGUCUAGCGGGUGUUCCUAGAUUGACACAAGUUGUGUGGAGCUGUAAAGUUACCCUGCAGCACUUUGACUUUUGUCUCAGCUUUCUUUCAGAUGCCGGACGGAUGAAAUCGGUGGCAGAGCGCCCCAUCCAGGGUAAGGGGGUUCCCGCGAGAAGGUAAGUCAAUGUUUGUCUUUGCAGGGCAACUGGAACCGGUCACUGUGUUACAGGUCUCUGUGUUUAUUUUUAGGAAGUGAAGCCGGCUAGCAGCAGUCAAGGCGAAGUGGGCAAGGCGGUCCAGUCGCGUUUCGCUGAGACGUCCUUGCCAACCGGCCAGCACAGCUGCUUCACCGCUCCCGUGAGCCCUGCGGAAGCGUUACGGAACCGUGUGACGGAGCCUUUUCCACGUAAAGGGGCUGUGUGGGUGGCCUUCAGGAACGGGCCGAGGGGUUGCCGUGAGUUGGGGAUGUCGGGAGGAGGAGCGAGGGUCCCUUUGAGUUUCAGCAAUGCCGCAUCACUUUGUCUUCUCUUAACUCAGGCGCGCCCUGUGACGACGGCGUCCGGCUCCCGGCGUGGCCGAAGCGCGCGGCCUCAGGACGUGGCCGUGCGCAGGAGACCCUGACCGAGAGACGGCAGCCUGGCGAUGGCAGGAACUUCCCGGAUGGCGAGGCGGCCUUCCUUGGCGCUCCAUGUGGAUCCUCCCCGCUGGGCAUCCGAGAGCUGAGUCGGAGGCUGCGAAUUGCAGAGGGGCUGAAAUCGGGGUGCCGGGUCGGGACUCUGGACCUGGGGUUAUGGAGUCAGCUUUGGGGACGGGGAAGUCCAGGCUGUGGCCCCUUAGGCCACGUGAAGGGAGAGCCUCACAUUUGUUCACAGUGCUGAGGUGUGCAGGACAGAGCAGUCCCGGGACGUGUCCCAUCACUCGUCCAUCGUGCCUUCUGUGUCUUUUGUGCCUCUCGUGUUGUACGUGCCUCGCCUUAUCUCUUCUGGGGGCUUACCAGAAACCCCGGCGUCACUCCUCGCGUCUCUGAUCUCUGGGCUCCUCAGCCCGACACCAUCGCAGCUUUGCCUCGGGAGCCCUCAGAGGCCUUGGAAUCGCGUCUCUCUUUUAAAAGCAUCCGAUCGGAUGUCUUUUAGAGGUCUUGUUCCGUGCUGUGUCGACAGCCGUGCGCCGCGAGGAUCCAUUGUUGCGGCUUAGGUCUUGAAGAAACGCAGAGAUAGGUAGGGGGCUGUGGCCCUCAGAUUCUCGGGCAUCCGUCUUGGCAGUUGCUGGAGUUUGUCAUUCCAUCAGCAUCUUCUUCCUCCCGGGUUCUGCGAGCUUCAUCAGCUCGCCUUCAUUCUCACCCGGCUCAUCUCGUUCCGCGUUCUCUCGGUCCUUGCGGCCAUUCUUGUGGCCCAGAGUUUUGUCUCCCCAUUGUUUCCCCUCGUCUGUUGUCUUGUGUGUCACGGGUGUCUGGGUGUAGUUGUCCCGGAGCUGCUCUGUCCUGCUGCCCAGCCUGGGUGUAGGUGUAAAAGGCCAAGUCUCAGGCCCCUGUAAUUUGAAAUUUGUCAUGUAGGGUGUAGUUGGAGUCUAGCGGGUGUUCCUAGAUUGACACAAGAUGUCUGGAGCUGUGAAGUUACCCUGCAGCACUUUGACUUUUGUCUCAGCUUUCUUUCAGAUGCGGACGGAUGAAAUCGGUGGCAGAGCGCCCCAUCCAGGGUAAGGGGGUUCCCGCGAGAAGGUAAGUCAAUGUUUGUCUUUGCAGGGCAACUGGAACCGGUCACUGUGUUACAGUUCUCCUCUUUGUGUUUAUUUUUAGGAAGUAGAGCCAGCUGGCAGCAGUCAAGGCGAAGUGGGCAAGGCGGUCCAGUCGCGUUCCGUCGAGACACCCUCGCCAACCGGCCGGCACAGCUGCUUCGCCUCUGCCGUGAGCCCUGCGGAAGCGUUACGGGGACCGUGGGACGAAGCCUUUUCCAUGUAGAGGGGCCGUGUCGGUGGCCUUCAGGAACGGGCCGAGGGGUUGCCGCACACCCUGCGACGACGGCGUCUGGCUCCCGGUGUGGCCUCAGGAUGUGGCCGUUCGCAGAAGACCCUGACCGAGAGACCGCAGCCUGGCGAUGGCAGGAACUUCCCGGAUGGCGAGGCGGCCUUCCUUGGUGCUCCAUGUGGAUCCACCCUGCCGGGCAUCCGAGAGCUGAGUCGAAGGCUGCGAAUUGCAGAGGGGAUGGAAGCGGGGUGCAGGGUCCGGGACUCGAGACCCGGGAUUUUUGAGUCAGCUUUGGGGACGGGGAGGUCCAGGCUGUGGCCCCUUAGGCCACACGGUGGGAGAGCUUCACUUUUGUUCACAGUGCUGAGGUGUGCAGGACAGAGCAGUCCCGGGGCGUGUCGUGUCACUUGUCCAUUGUGCCUUCUGUGUCUUUUGUGCCCCUCGUGUUGUACGUGCCUUGCCUUAUCCUUUCUGGGGGCUUACCAGAAGCCCUGGCGCCUCUCUUAGCAUCUCCGAUCUCUGGGCUCCUUGGCUCAGCAGCUCUCAGAGGCCUUGGAAUCGCGUCUCUCUUGAAAAGCAUCCGAUCGGAUGUCUUUUAGAGGUCUUGUUCCGUGCUGUGUCGACAGCCAUGCGCCGCGAGGAUCCAUUGUUGCGGCUUAGGACUUGAAGAAACGCAAAGAUAGGUAGAGGAUUGUGGCCAUAAGAUUCUCGGGCAUCCAUCUUGGCAGUCUUGGAGUUAAUCAUUCCAUCAGCAUCUUCUUCCUCCCGGGUUCUGCGAGCUUCAUCAGCUCAUUCUCACCCGGCUCAUCUCGUUCCGCGUUCUCUCGGUCCUUGCGGCCAUUCUUGUGGCCCAGAGUUUUGUCUCCCCAUUGUUUCCCCUCGUCUGUUGUCUUGUGUGUCACGGGUGUCUGGGUGUAGUUGUCCCGGAGCUGCUCUGUCCUGCUGCCCAGCCUGGGUGUAGGUGUAAAAGGCCAAGUCUCAGGCCCCUGUAAUUUGAAAUUUGUCAUGUAGGGUGUAGUUGGAGUCUAGCGGGUGUUCCUAGAUUGACACAAGAUGUCUGGAGCUGUGAAGUUACCCUGCAGCACUUUGACUUUUGUCUCAGCUUUCUUUCAGAUGCGGACGGAUGAAAUCGGUGGCAGAGCGCCCCAUCCAGGGUAAGGGGGUUCCCGCGAGAAGGUAAGUCAAUGUUUGUCUUUGCAGGGCAACUGGAACCGGUCACUGUGUUACAGGUCUCCUCUUUGUGUUUAUUUUUAGGAAGUAGAGCCAGCUGGCAGCAGUCAAGGCGAAGUGGGCAAGGCGGUCCAGUCGCGUUCCGUCGAGACACCCUCGCCAACCGGCCGGCACAGCUGCUUCGCCUCUGCCGUGAGCCCUGCGGAAGCGUUACGGGGACCGUGGGACGAAGCCUUUUCCAUGUAGAGGGGCCGUGUCGGUGGCCUUCAGGAACGGGCCGAGGGGUUGCCGCACACCCUGCGACGACGGCGUCUGGCUCCCGGUGUGGCCUCAGGAUGUGGCCGUUCGCAGAAGACCCUGACCGAGAGACCGCAGCCUGGCGAUGGCAGGAACUUCCCGGAUGGCGAGGCGGCCUUCCUUGGUGCUCCAUGUGGAUCCACCCUGCCGGGCAUCCGAGAGCUGAGUCGAAGGCUGCGAAUUGCAGAGGGGAUGGAAGCGGGGUGCAGGGUCCGGGACUCGAGACCCGGGAUUUUUGAGUCAGCUUUGGGGACGGGGAGGUCCAGGCUGUGGCCCCUUAGGCCACACGGUGGGAGAGCUUCACUUUUGUUCACAGUGCUGAGGUGUGCAGGACAGAGCAGUCCCGGGGCGUGUCGUGUCACUUGUCCAUUGUGCCUUCUGUGUCUUUUGUGCCCCUCGUGUUGUACGUGCCUUGCCUUAUCCUUUCUGGGGGCUUACCAGAAGCCCUGGCGCCUCUCUUAGCAUCUCCGAUCUCUGGGCUCCUUGGCUCAGCAGCUCUCAGAGGCCUUGGAAUCGCGUCUCUCUUGAAAAGCAUCCGAUCGGAUGUCUUUUAGAGGUCUUGUUCCGUGCUGUGUCGACAGCCAUGCGCCGCGAGGAUCCAUUGUUGCGGCUUAGGACUUGAAGAAACGCAAAGAUAGGUAGAGGAUUGUGGCCAUAAGAUUCUCGGGCAUCCAUCUUGGCAGUCUUGGAGUUAAUCAUUCCAUCAGCAUCUUCUUCCUCCCGGGUUCUGCGAGCUUCAUCAGCUCAUUCUCACCCGGCUCAUCUCGUUCCGCGUUCUCUCGGUCCUUGCGGCCAUUCUUGUGGCCCAGAGUUUUGUCUCCCCAUUGUUUCCCCUCGUCUGUUGUCUUGUGUGUCACGGGUGUCUGGGUGUAGUUGUCCCGGAGCUGCUCUGUCCUGCUGCCCAGCCUGGGUGUAGGUGUAAAAGGCCAAGUCUCAGGCCCCUGUAAUUUGAAAUUUGUCAUGUAGGGUGUAGUUGGAGUCUAGCGGGUGUUCCUAGAUUGACACAAGAUGUCUGGAGCUGUGAAGUUACCCUGCAGCACUUUGACUUUUGUCUCAGCUUUCUUUCAGAUGCGGACGGAUGAAAUCGGUGGCAGAGCGCCCCAUCCAGGGUAAGGGGGUUCCCGCGAGAAGGUAAGUCAAUGUUUGUCUUUGCAGGGCAACUGGAACCGGUCACUGUGUUACAGGUCUCCUCUUUGUGUUUAUUUUUAGGAAGUAGAGCCAGCUGGCAGCAGUCAAGGCGAAGUGGGCAAGGUGGUCCAGUCGCAUUUCGCCGAGAUCCCCUCGCCAACCGGCCGGCACGCCUGCUUCACCUCUGCCGUGAGCCCUGCGGAAGCGUUAUGGAACCGUGUGACGGAGCCUUUUCCGUGUAGAGGGGCCAUGUGGGUGGCCUUCAGGAACGGGCCGAGGGGUUGCCGCGCGCCCUGUGACGACGGCGUCCAGCUCCCAGCGUGGCCAAAGCGCGCGGCCUCAGGAUGUGGCCGUGCGCAGGAGACCCUGACCGAGAGACGGCAGCCUGGCGAUGGCAGGAACUUCCCAGAUGGCGAAGCGGCCUUCCUUGGUGCUCCAUGUGGAUCCUCCCCGCUGGGCAUCCGAGAGCUGAGUCGGAGGCUGCCAAUUGUAGAGGGGCUGAAAUCGUGGUGCCGGGUCGGGACUCUGAACCUGGGGUUAUGGAGUCAGCUUUGGGGACGGGGAGGUCCAGGCUGUGGCCCCUUAGGCCACACGGUGGGAGAGCCUCACAGUUGCUCACAGCGCUGAGGUGCGCAGGACAGAGCAGUCCCGGGGCGUGUCGUAUCACUUGUCCGUCGUGCCUUCUGUGUCUUUUGUGCCUCUCCUGUUGUAUGUGCCUUCUCUUAUCUCUUCUGGGGGCUUACCAGAAACCCCGGCAUCACUCCUCGCAUCUCUGAUCUCUGGGCUCCUCAGCCCGACACCAUCGAAGCUUUGCCUCAGGAGCCCUCAGAGGCCUCGGAAUCGCGUCUCUCUUUUAAAAGCAUCCGAUCGGAUGUCUUUUAGAGGUCUUGUUCUGAGCUGUGUCAACAGCCGUGCGCCGCGAGGAUCCAUUGUUGCGGCUUAGGUCUUGAAGAAACGCAGAGAUAGGUAGGGGGCUGUGGCCCUCAGAUUCUUGGGCAUCCGUCUUGGCAGUUGCUGGAGUUUGUCAUUCCAUCAGCAUCUUCUUCCUCCCGGGUUCUGCGAGCUUCAUCAGCUCGCCUUCAUUCUCACCCGGCUCAUCUCGUUCCGCGUUCUCUCGGUCCUUGCGGCCAUUCUUGUGGCCCAGAGUUUUGUCUCCCCGUUGUGUCCCCUCGUCUGUUGUCUUGUGUGUCACGGGUGUCUGGGUGUAGUUGUCCCGGAGCUGCUCUGUCCUGCUGCCCAGCCUGGGUGUAGGUGUAAAAGGCCAAGUCCCAGGCCCCUGUAAUUUGAAAUUUGUCAUGUAGGGUGAGUUGGAGUCUAGCGGGUGUUCCUAGAUUGACACAAGGUGGCUGGAGCUGUGAAGUUAUCCUUCAGCUCUUUGAGUUUUGUCUUAGCUUUCUAAGCAUUACAUUAUUCGCUGCCCGAUGUGGGGUUCAAAAGAGUAAGAAAAACCUAUACUAAUUACGUUAUAUUGGUACUUCCUGUGUGUUGGGAAAAAGGACUGUGGGAUAAAGGACUUUGUAAUGGUGUUCCUUAAGUUCAUGUCUCUCAGGGUGGAGGCCUUCAUGUAGUUCUAGUCUCUGAGCUUUUUUUGAGGUUUUAAUCUACUUGUCCAGAAAUGGAUUACUUGUAUUUAUUUCUAUUUUAUGGCUAUCUAUCUAUCUUCAUUUGUUUAUUAUAGAUGUGUAUAUUUUCAUUUCUAUAUUAUUCAUUUAAAUGCCAUGCCUGUAAGUAAAUAAAAAACAAAAAGUCCCUUGA